rnacentral:rRNA from 1 species
UACCAGCACCCCGAGUGGUCGGGACGUUUAUUGGGCCUAAAGCAUCCGUAGCCGGCCUUACAAGUCCCCCGUUAAAUCCAACUGCUUAACAGAUGGGCUGCGGAGGAUACUAUAAGACUAGGAGGCAGGAGAGGCAAGCGGUACUCAGUGGGUAGGGGUAAAAUCCAUUGAUCCAUUGAAGACCACCAGUGGCGAAGGCGGCUUGCCAGAAUGCGCUCGACGGUGAGGGAUGAAAGCUGGGGGAGCAAACCGG